CACACACACACACACACACACACACACACACACACACACACUAGAGCGAGAGAGGGUCGGGUGCUGGACUGGACUCCAAGAGCACCAGAUAGUCGAGAGAAGAGAGAGUGGCCCAAAUCCCAAACAGCAGCCCCAGCACGUCCCGUUAUCAGCCUCCUCCGUCACAGGCAGCAGAGGAGUAGUGAUGAGAUGUAGCUUCUGUUUCAUCUCUUGCUGAAUGACUUUCUUCACUUUGCAUAGAGAGCGAGGAGCUGCUGCCCCGCUGUGAGUGGAAGGUGAACCAUGAGGUGCUAUGGGUUAAACAUUCAUCUCCAGGACAGAAUACUGGCUUCCAGCAUAUUCAACUGUAGACAAUUUCCACAUCUGCCCAACAGAGGGAGUCCCCAAGGCCUCAGCUUCUUCUGCCUGCAAAUUUUCUUUUAGAUUGAUGAUACAGUUUUAUAUACCCCAAGCUCCAGCCCAGCCCAGGCCCUGACUCAUCUUCAGUCUGCCUUUGAUGCAUUCCAAUUAUCACAUUAAAUGCUAAAAGACCAAGUACAUGGUAUUUUCUUUCACCUCCACCAGUGACUUUGACUAUCCUGCCAUUAAAAAGUUUAAAUGGCACCUAUAUUACUCUUGCUGAGUCAUAUAAAUACUUGGGAAUUUGGCUGGAGAGCAGACUAUCAUUCAAAAUUCAUAUUCAACAUUUGAUUCAGAAAUUAAAAAUGAAAUUGGGCUUCUUGUAUAGAAUUAAUGGUUUGUCUUCUUCCAACUGUAAGACAAUUGUGUACUCAACCUUCAUGUCUGUCCUUGACUAUGGAGAUAUUGUUUAUUGUCAUGCUGCCACAUCUACACUUCAGCAGUUAAACCCUGUGUAUCAUAGUGUAUUACGUUUUAUCACAAAUGACAAAUUUCGUACUCAUCAUUGCUCUCUGUAUCACAAGGUUGGUUGGACUUCCUUACAGACAAGAGGAAAUAACCAUCUCAUGUUAUUCAUCUAUAAAGUUCUACUGUUGAAUCUUCCAAACUUCCUCACAUCUCUUCUUUCAUUUAAAUCUAGUAACUACAGUACAUGAUUCAGUAACUACUUAACAUUAGAUAUCCUUCAUGUUCACACUAAUGUUGGCAGGACUGUUUUCAGCUACUAUACACCUUUUUAAAUGGAAUGAACUGCAAACUGCGCUCAAACUUAAGUCUUAUAUUCCUCCUUGGAGAUUUUAAAGCUUGAUUAUCUGAUGUUUUUUAUGAUUCUUGUAACUGUUUUUAUUAAUUUCUUGUUUAU